rnacentral:rRNA from 1 species
UACGGAGGAUGCAAGCGUUAUCCGGAAUGAUUGGGCGUAAAGGGUCCGCAGGUGGUACUGUAAGUCUGCUGUUAAAGAGUCUAGCUCAACUAGAUAAAAGCAGUGGAAACUACAGAACUAGAGUGCGUUCGGGGCAGAAGGAAUUCCUGGUGUAGCGGUGAAAUGCGUAGAUAUCAGGAAGAACACCGGUGGCGAAAGCGUUCUGCUAGGCCGCAACUGACACUGAGGGACGAAAGCUAGGGGAGCGAAUGGG